rnacentral:rRNA from 1 species
GAUGAACGCUGGCGGCGUGCCUAAUACAUGCAAGUCGAGCGAACGGACGAGAAGCUUGCUUCUCUGAUGUUAGCGGCGGACGGGUGAGUAACACGUGGAUAACCUACCUAUAAGACUGGGAUAACUUCGGGAAACCGGAGCUAAUCCCGGAUAAUAUUUUGAACCGCAUGGUUCAAAAGUGAAAGACGGUCUUGCUGUCACUUAUAGAUGGAUCCGCGCUGCAUUAGCUAGUUGGUAAGGUAACGGCUUACCAAGGCAACGAUGCAUAGCCGACCUGAGAGGGUGAUAGGCCACACUGGAACUGAGACACGGUCCAGACUCCUACGGGAGGCAGCAGUAGGGAAUCUUCCGCAAUGGGCGAAAGCCUGACGGAGCAACGCCGCGUGAGUGAUGAAGGUCUUCGGAUCGUAAAACUCUGUUAUUAGGGAAGAACAUAUGUGUAAGUAACUGUGCACAUCUUGACGGUACCUAAUCAGAAAGCCACGGCUAACUACGUG